AUUGAACGCUGGCGGCAGGCCUAACACAUGCAAGUCGAACGAGUGGCGGACGGGUGAGUAAUGUUUGGGAAUCUAGCCUAUGGAUGGGGAUAACUACGGGAAACUGUAGCUAAUACCGCAUACCAUAGGAUGAGCCCAAGUGGGAUUAGCUAGUUGGUGGGGUAAAGGCUCACCAAGGCGACGAUCCCUAGCUGGUCUGAGAGGAUGACCAGCCACACUGGAACUGGGACACGGCCCAGACUCCUACGGGAGGCAGCAGUGGGGAAUAUUGCACAAUGGGGGAAACCUGACGCAGCCAUGCCGCGUGGAUGAAGAAGGCCUUCGGGUUGUAAAGUUCUUUCGGUAGCGAGGCGUUACCUACAGAAGAAGCACCGGCUAACUCCGUGCCAGCAGCCGCGGUAAUAC
rnacentral:rRNA from 1 species